rnacentral:lncRNA from 1 species
ACGAGCAGGUUACAAACACCGGGGGAAACCAGCGGUGAGAUCCCCGCCUCCCCGGGGCCCGGCUGUGUAGGCCCAGGCAGGGGGUGCUGCUGGCUCCGCCCGCACUUCCUCAGCCGCCCUCACGAGGGCUGCCGGGCCCUGGCGGCUCCCUCGGCAGACUCGAGGGGCCUCGGGACAAGAAAAAAGCCUCAAAAGAACAAAAAGCCAUGCCCGCCACCAUCCUCUGCUCCGUUGGGGCACGCCACUGCCCCGGAGCAGGUCAGUGCCACUUCAUGCUUGGUGUGGAUCCCAUUACCGGAGGGUGUCAUUACAGGUGGAAUUUCAUAUGACUCAAUCUGUGCACAUUAUUUCUUGUCCUGUCAUGUGGCAGUCUAUCCAGGGACUUAUCAGGCUGAAAAUAGGGGAUGAAGAUGCUGUCUUCAUGGUAAGUUUUCCAAUACCAGAUUGGAUCCUGUUCCUUCAUUCGUUUUUAUCUGAGGUUUCGCCUUUUUGAUUAGAAUAACAUUAGUACUUUUGUUUUAAUGACUUCCAAAGUAGAGCACCCUCCUAUGGGAGCAAAAGAAUCUGUUUUGCCUUGUGAUUGUUUAUGUGACCUCAGUUGAGCUUAAGGCUCUUCUGAAAAUAAUAGGCAGUUUAGCCUCUAUUAUCUGUAGUAUGCUCCAGAGAUCUCCUGGAGUUUUUUUUGUCUGUUCUUAUCCUUGGCUUCUGG